rnacentral:rRNA from 1 species
CUGGGCUCAACCUAGGAAUCGCAUUUGAAACUGACAAGCUAGAGUACUGUAGAGGGGGGUAGAAUUUCAGGUGUAGCGGUGAAAUGCGUAGAGAUCUGAAGGAAUACCGGUGGCGAAGGCGGCCCCCUGGACAGAUACUGACACUCAGAUGCGAAAGCGUGGGGAGCAAACAGGAUUAGAUACCCUGGUAGUCCACGCCGUAAACGAUGUCUACUUGGAGGUUGUGCCCUAGAGGUGUGGCUUUCGGAGCUAACGCGUUAAGUAGACCGCCUGGGGAGUACGGUCGCAAGAUUAAAACUCAAAUGAAUUGACGGGGGCCCGCACAAGCGGUGGAGCAUGUGGUUUAAUUCGAUGCAACGCGAAGAACCUUACCUACUCUUGACAUCCAGAGAAUCUAGCGGAGACGCUGGAGUGCCUUCGGGAGCUCUGAGACAGGUGCUGCAUGGCUGUCGUCAGCUCGUGUUGUGAAAUGUUGGGUUAAGUCCCGCAACGAGCGCAACCCUUAUCCUUGUUUGCCAGCACGUAAUGGUGGGAACUCCAGGGA